rnacentral:rRNA from 1 species
AGCGAACGCUGGCGGCAGGCCUAACACAUGCAAGUCGAACGGAUCCUUCGGGAUUAGUGGCGGACGGGUGGGUAACACGUGGGAACGUGCCCUUUGGUUCGGAACAACUCAGGGAAACUUGAGCUAUUACCGGUUUUCCCUUCCGGGGGAAAGAUUUAUCGCCAUUGGAGCGGCCCGCGUCUGAUUAGCUAGUUGGUGAGGUAACGGCCCACCAAGGCGACGAUCAGUAGCUGGUCUGAGAGGAUGAUCAGCCACACUGGGACUGAGACACGGCCCAGACUCCUACGGGAGGCAGCAGUGGGGAAUCUUGCGCAAUGGGCGAAAGCCUGACGCAGCCAUGCCGCGUGAAUGAUGAGGGUCUUAGGAUUGUAAAAUUCUUUCAGCGGGGACGAUAAUGACGGUACCCGCAGAAGAAGCUCCGGCUAACUUCGUG